AACCCAUAUCGUGUUUUAUCGCAGAGGCCAUUUUUGCUGCAUCUCUUCCUCCUGCUCUCUUAUCUAGCUUCUUGUCAACUCUGAACUGUCAUUUCAUAACAAAGCCUAAAAAGCCCAACAGCUGAAAAAGAGCAACGCCUUAAUCAAUUCAGAAACACACCAGUGUAACUUCAUCCCUUUGCAACGCUGCAUCUGGCUGAGCAGCGGUGUAAAACUCCACAUCGAGUCAGACAGUCAAACUGCGCUUUGAGUAGAGCCUCCUAAAAAGCUGCUGUUUGGCUGGAACCAGAGUGGACCCUGUGGCAGGUGCAUCCUCUGCCUACUCAGCUGCUCCGCUUGUGUUCAGAUGAUUAAGAUAGCUGUGAGGAUAUUCACUUUCACUGAGGAAAUGAGCUUUUAUCAUACCAGGCACUUAUGAGGUUUGGCUAGUGGAGCAGUUCUUCUUUCAUCUGUCAGCAGCCAAUAAGCACUACCAGCACACUGACUAGCUAAACAAGGUUGGCUCUCAGUACUCCCUCCUCGCUCUAUGCAGAUUAAUCCCUUUGAUGUCGAACCAGCAGCACAAAGACGAACCGAGUGAGGAAGAGAAGACGCGAGAGGGAGGGGAAAAAUCAGCAACUGGUUUUAAUGAGGACCUGUGUCAGCAAAACAACACGGCCACGCUGCAAACUGACCCAGGAAGACUUUCAAAUAUUAUUCAUAACCUGGGAAUUGUACAUAAAUGGCUGCUAGACUUUGUUGUUGUUGUUGCUGUUGUUAUUCUUGGUAUUAUGUUGUUUAGGGUUUUGGAUGAAAAUCAGACAAGGGCCACAGUCCAGGGGGGAUUUUUUAGAGGAAGAACAGGAAGCUUUUAUUUGGCAAACUGUAGAAUUUUUCCACAAGUCUCAAACCGUGUA